rnacentral:rRNA from 1 species
UGAGGAAUAUUGGUCAAUGGUCGCUAGACUGAACCAGCCAAGUAGCGUGCGGGAUGAAGGCCCUCCGGGUCGUAAACCGCUUUUAGACGGGGAUAAAGUGAGGCACGUGUGCCUUUUUGUAUGUACCGUAUGAAUAAGGAUCGGCUAACUCCGUGCCAGCAGCCGCGGUAAUACGGAAGGUCCGGGCGUUAUCCGGAUUUAUUGGGUUUAAAGGGAGCGUAGGCGGACUUUCAAGUCAGUGGUAAAAUCGUGUGGCUCAACCAUACCUCGCCAUUGAAACUGGAAGUCUGGAGUGCACACAGGGGUGCCGGAAUUCAUGGUGUAGCGGUGAAAUGCUUAGAUAUCAUGAAGAACUCCGAUCGCGAAGGCAAGUGCCCGGGGUGCAACUGACGCUGAGGCUCGAAGGUGCGGGUAUCGAACAGGAUUAGAUACC